rnacentral:rRNA from 1 species
UACGGAGGGUGCAAGCGUUAUCCGGAUUCACUGGGUUUAAAGCGCACGUAGGCGGCGCCGUAAGUCAGGGGUGAAAUCCCGGAGCUCAACUCCGGAACUGCCUUUGAAACUGCGGUGCUAGAAUCCUGGAGAGGCGGGUGGAAUUCCGAGUGUAGAGGUGAAAUUCGUAGAUAUUCGGAAGAACACCAGUGGCGAAGGCGACUCGCUGGACAGGUAUUGACGCUGAGGUGCGAAAGCGUGGGGAGCAAACAGG